rnacentral:rRNA from 1 species
UACGAGGGGGGCGAGCGUUGUUCGGAAUUAUUGGGCGUAAAGGGCGCGUAGGCGGUGCGGUAAGUCACCUGUGAAAUCUCCGGGCUCAACUCGGAGCCUGCAGGCGAAACUGCCGUGCUAGAGGGUGGGAGAGGUGCGUGGAAUUCCCGGUGUAGCGGUGAAAUGCGUAGAUAUCUGCAGGAACACCCGUGGCGAAAGCGGCGCGCUGGACCACAACUGACGCUGAGGAACGAAAGCUAGGGGAGCAAACAGG